CACCUGGGAAGAAUCUCCUCUGCAGAAGAAAGGGAGGGAAUGGAUCUGAGAGCAACAGGAGGAAACAGUCGCUGACCAGCAUCAGCACUUAGGACACUCCAAGUGAGGCAGAAGUCAAGCACAUCCCAGAAGUGAGGGUCCCUGACCCAGGUGAACAGUGGCUCUCAUAAGACAAUCGCUAUCCCCCGACCUCAUAGCAACAGCAACCGUGCUGGCCAUUUGGGGGAAUUUUUAUUGUUAUUAAGCUGAUGGGACUUACAGUAUUUUUACAUUGACUCUGUGCAUAGGCCCUUUCAUA
rnacentral:lncRNA from 1 species